rnacentral:tRNA from 1 species
GGCGGUGUGCCGUCGAGCAACGUAAGCCGCAGGUCCGGCGUCACUCGUCGCACAGACUGUAAAUCUGCCGGCUCAGCCUACCCAGGUUCGAACCCUGGUGCCGCCA